UAUAGGCUAAGGCUACAGCCUACAGCAGCCCACACCCAAAUCCAAAACCAAAAAUUCAAUUAUAAAUAGUAAAUUAGGUCAAAACAAAACAAAGCUUUACUACUUUAGUUUGCAAAUUGAAAUUGCAUCUGCUUCUCCUCCUCACUCCAUAGCCUUUAGUAAAAAUUUGGUCAAAACUCAAAAACGAAGAACGAAGGAAAUGACGUAGUACGAACAAGCAAAGGGAAUCAGUCGCCUGUCUAACGAGAAACGGUAACAGCGGCGAACGAAGUUGGUUCAACUGAUAGCAUACCCGAUAAAAGAAAUGACAACUCAAUUGACAUUGCUGUCAAUUUUCUAGCAUCAAGUGAUUAGAAGUCCCUUUCUGUACAACACUGGAAAUGAUUUAAGGGUUCUUGGCAUGUAACAUUUGCAAUGCAAAAUGGAAAAUGGAACAUAGCAUAAGUGGAACAGUUGCUGGCUUACUGCAAGACUUUAUAAGUGGCUCAUACAGUCAUGCAUUUAUAGAAAAUGCAAUAAUCAAGGCGCUAAAAUGGGAUAGUUGCAAAACCAAAAAACCGAAUUUAUUAACUAGAAACAUAACCGAACCAAACUGAAAUAAACCAAACCAAACCAAAAUAAUUCAGUUCAAAUUACGGUAUACCUAAAUAGAAAACCGAAAACCAAAAAAACAAAUUAAAAACACCGAAACCGAAUCGUAUUCCCAAAUGCCCACCCUUAGUAACAAGGGUAAGAGAUGGAAAGUCAAACAACAAGGUAAAGCAAUUGAAAGCCAAGAAACAAGUUGAAGAACUUACAAGUCAGGAGUCCACUUGAAGAAUAGGGUGAUGAAACUCAAGUAAAAAUUUCAAAAGAAGAUGCGUAGAUAGGAUUUUUGUAAUUUCAUUUAUGUUUUAACUUGUAAUUUUCAUUUUGAUGUAAUGAAAGAGUCACGGACUGGAACCUCGAUGGAACCUCACUCGACUCUCUAACUCGGUACAGUCCACUUCUCAUUCCAACCCUUUAAGAUACCAAUGACUUGACUCUCACAUGACUUGGGAUGAGUGUAAUGUCCAAAAUUAAGACCUGUUUUUUCCCUUCCUUCUGUUUCAUUCUUUUUGAAUAAUAAUCAGGAUAAAAUUCUGUCUCAUUGUCUACUUCUUUGUAUGAAAACACCUUGUAUUUACAUCAAAAGGGGCAUGAUGUAGACACAUAAUUUUGUCCCUCCCCAAAAUAUUUUUACUCAUUUUUAUUCACCUCACCAUAUACUUUUUUCUUAGUUGAUAAUUUUCCCCCCAAAAGAAUAAAAAAUAAUCAAAUACAUAACACCUUUGACACUUCACCAUGCCACCUCACACACCACUCCCCAUUUUUCUUUACAUACACAAAAAAAUGCAUGCACCACUCACCUCACACGCUCAUUCACAUGGGACCCACACACUCAACAUAUAUUUACACAUGCCACAUCACAGUGCUCCACACCCCAUCUUCCAUCACACAUAAUUAACACACAAAAAAUACUAAAAAAGGGCCCACACAGUGAUUUUGGGGGAAUUACAUGCAGAUAGGGGAUUGGCAUGUAUAUACUCACAUAGAUAAUUUCUAUAUAGAAGAGAUACAUAAUCAUUUGUUUCUUAUUUUUUUUUAAGGAGUAAUAAUAUAUACAUCAUCAACAAUUGGGUUUUGGGGGGGGGGGGGGGGGGAAUUUGGAUGAAAAACACAACCACAGGGUUUUUGGGGUUUUCUUCUUCACGAUAUAUACACAGAUGACCAAAAACCGAGAGAGAUAGAGAAAAGAGGGAUCACUGGAAAAGGAUGUUUUUCUUCUUCUUCUUCUUCAAAGGAAUACACACAGACAAAUAGAGGGAGAUAUACAGAGAGAGAUGAGAAUAGAAGGGAUUUUGGGUUUCUUCACCAACACAGGAAGGACAUCACUUUUGGUUUUCCUUUUUUUCUCGCACAUAAGAUGCUCACACACACAGAGUAGAGAGAAGCAAAAAUGAAGGGAGUUUGACGGAAUUCAGUGAAAGAAUAGGAAAAAUGGCAAAAACUCAACUUCCAUUCAAGCUAAUUUUUGGCGACUUUGGUGUAUAAAUCAUGUUUCACUCGUCAGGUGUCUGAAUCAGUCCCAAAAUCAUCCCUAUUUUUCUUCAAUUUCUAGAAGUGAUCUAGACAAAAUCCAAUCAUUUUAAUUAUUUUGGGUAUGGUUAGCUCAUCGGAGCUUAAUUUUAUCAGUCUUCAGUUCUUCGCUGGAAUUUAGAGAGCUUUGGGUUUCGUCUGUUUUGGGAUUUGAUUUUUCAUUCGUCUCGAUUAGUUUUGGGUUUUAAAUUCCUCCAUAUCUGAGUUGGAGUUAGUCACUAUUGAAGUUCUAUUCGGAAUUCUAAAGUCCAAACUUUCUUAAAUAUUAUUAUCAACAGAAAUCGAUUAUCAGAAGGUCCAAUUCUACUCUUUCCCUCUUUUACUUUAUCAUUUUACUAUAUUUUGGUGUCUUUGGAUUGAAUAUCAUGUGUUGUUUGAUCCUUGUUGGUAAUUGAAUAUUGGUGAGGUUGAUUUGUUGUUCAA